UGCAUCACAGAAAUGCUAGCCUGUUACAGAUGGGUUUUCAUUCUUUUCCUCUGACGCUGCUUCGCGCCAAGACCUCACUCCCUGAAGUUUUAUGAGGGUGUCGUGGGAGGAGCUGGUUUAUUUCUGACUCACAUGGACUGGAAAAGGUGCCUGUGGAAGCCCUGCCAUCCCUGGCCUUGACUUCUGUCUUCCUUGUGCUGAGAACGCAUCAAAACCAUAGCCUAUCUUCAGAAGAGAGGUCACCUGUGCUGGAAGAAAACAGAAGGGCCCGCAGCCCAGCUGUAACUGAACCCAGAGUGACCUCAGCAAUAGAAUUCUGGAGAGAUCAAGUUUAAGUACUUGGAUGGAAGCAAACCUGUAGGAUAAUUGUGCAUGCAGAAGACAGCUUCAGCCUUGUACACCCUGCCCAUACCUGGGGCUCAGUCUUGUUGCCUUGUUUACUUCUCAGAUCUUUGAGCGAUGCAUCCAGAAGCUCUAUGAUAGAUGGCUUCUUUGCAUAUGGACCAUUACCACCAUGUUCAAGUAAUUAGUAUCUUCUCCCUGGCAACAUUGACUAGCAGGUUCCUGGUACAAAGAGGUUCUUGGAGGAGACCCAGCUGGGACCCAAGUUUGGAACACCCAACCUCCUUUGGGCACAUCUCUGCACUGAUUAGCUCCUUGGGCCAGCUGCUUCUGCCCACACUCAUGCAGAGGGAGCCAGAGUUAGGAGGCAGACAGUGCUGAAGAAAUGCUGGAAGAGUAUCAGUUGCUGACUCUUGUCACUAAAGUCAGCUCUCAGGUCUUUAAAUGUAUCGAGGGCGCCUGCCAUGGGAAAGACAUUCACAAAGAGAUUCCCAAGAUAAAUAGUCUCAUCCAGAAAGCCCAUUGCUAAACAGCAUGUACAAUAGGAUUACAUUUCCACUAUUUUCCUUUUACACUUCUCUGUUGCCCAAGUUCAUUUUGGUAAAGUGUAUGCAUUACUUUUGCUUGUAGUAGAAGUGAUGAAGAUUAACAAACACACACUAUGCCGCUGGCAUAUCGGUCAGGAAUAGAGCCUUCCAUUGAAAGAAGUAGUGGAAUACUGUAUCAUCUUUAUAAGGAUUGCUUUUGUAGGAAUUGGGAAAACUGUGUUAUUGAAAUAAUUUUCAAAGUGAUGAACAUAAAAUAAAAUCCAUAAGGUCUGUAAGUGUCCAACUGUCAAUCUCAGCUCAGUUCUUGAUCUUGGGAUCAUGAGUUCAAGCCCUUGGCUGGACUCCACACUGGGCAUGGAACCUACUUAAAAAAAAAAAAAGGAUUCUAGGUAGGAGGAGGAGAAAGAUGGCAGAAGAGUAGGUGACCUAAAUUUCAUGGGGUUCCAGGAAUUCAGCCAGAUAGUUGUCAAACCAUUCUGAACACAUACAAACUCAACAGGAGAUGGA